AUGGAAGAGCUGGGCCCCCCACGCGUGAAGUUCUUUCACUGGCUCACUAACCUGGGACGUUGCUGGACAGCCGACCGCCUUGCUCGCCGUGGGCUGCCGCACCCAGCCCGCUGCCCGCUUUGCGAUCAAGUGCCCGAAUUGAUUCAUCACAUGCUCCUGGCAUGCCCCUUCUCCAAGCUGUUGUGGCACGAAAUCCUUUCCUAG
rnacentral:rRNA from 1 species